CAGUAGCCGCGGUAAUACGAAGGGUGCAAGCGUUACUCGGAAUUACUGGGCGUAAAGCGUGUGUAGGUGGUUGUUUAAGUCUGUCGUGAAAGCCCUGGGCUCAACCUGGGAAUUGCGAUGGAUACUGGGCGACUAGAGUGCGGUAGAGGAUAGUGGAAUUUCCGGUGUAGCAGUGAAAUGCGUAGAGAUCGGAAGGAACAUCUGUGGCGAAGGCGACUAUCUGGGCCAACACUGACACUGAGGCACGAAAGCGUGGGGAGCAAACAGGAUUAGAUACCCCCGUAGUCCCUGUCUCUUAUAC
rnacentral:rRNA from 1 species